GUUCUCUGACGUCAAGCUUUCUGCGGAGGCGGCCAGUGCCUGCGGGACUGUGCAGGAGCUUGUGGGGACCGGAAGCGUGCAAAGUACCCAGCGCCCGGGAGGGACCAGCUGCUCCCGCGCCCGCCAGUCUGCGAUCCGGGCCCAGGCUGGCGCUGCCUUUCCUGUUUCCUGGCUUUUUCUCCUGACCCGUGUCUGACAACGCCGGCCCCAGCACGAGGACCGCUGCGGGGCUUGGGGACGCGGCCUGCGACGCCAUGCAGUGGAGCACCAUCGGGGCUGGAACCGCCAGAGAGAUGCAGAGAUAACCGGGCCUCGGUCCCAAGCCCGGCCCUAUGCUCCCCCACUUCGCGCUCCACCUGCCCUGCAUGUGGGCCACUGGGACCUGAGACCGGCCCCAUGCUCCCUCCACCACACCCGCGUCCAGCCCCUAACAGGAGUCAUUUAAUUUGGUAGGACAGACAGAGAUUGAGAGAGGACAGAAGGAAAGGCACCUGCAGACCUGAUUCUCCAGGUGAGGAGCAGGGACUCGAACCUGGUCCUUGUGCUUGGUGACAUGUGCGCUUAACCGGGGGCAGCACCGCCCGGACCCAACAAGAUUUAUUUUCCCAUCCCUGUGCCUACAUCACUUCACGACUCCCGGGAGAGAAGGACAGAUGGUCAGAGGAGCGACAGUAACUUGCUUUGCAGGUGCCACGUGGUGCACAGAGGCUGGAACCAGGCGCUCCCAUGGGCCAAGGAUGAGCUCUGUAUCUGGGAGCCAGCUCCCAACACCACCGCCUCCGACCUGUCAGAUCUAUCCUGCAAAGAUUUCAUCUCGCAAAGAAUUUAUCCAGCAAAAGAAAAAUCUAGCAAAAAAAAAAAAAAAAAAAAAACCUAUCUUUAAAAAAAUCUGUUCCAUUCUUCCCAUUACUGCUGUCAUCUUCCGAGCUACCAUCACCUCCUGCUUAGUCUUCUGCUUGUCUGAGAUCCAUGUCCACCAGUUCCAUCCAAGGUCUUUAUCUUUGUUGGUGUUUAGAAAAAAGUUACAGCUACCCAUUCUCGAAUUAUGCAUUGACUUCGUUCACACAUUCUGCUGGAAAAUGCACAUCUCAAAUCAGAGUAGUCGCAGUCCCAGUGUUCAAAGUCAGAAUUGACUGGUGGCUUCUACAUUGGACAGUACAAGCCUAGUAUACUCAGUGAACACUGGAUUGAUGUGAUUUACCCAAAGAAUCAAAACUGGAGUGGUGGUGCAGUCGAUAAAGCAUUGGAUUCUCAAGCAUGAGGUCCCAAGUUCAAUCCGAGGCAGCACAUGUACCAGAGUGAUGUCUGGUUCUUUCUCUCUUCUGUCUUUCUCAUGAAUAAAUAAAUUCUGUUUUUAAAAAAAGAAUAAUUUUCUGGGGUCAAAGAGACAGCUAUAGAACUCGCAUGUCUGAGGCUACAGAUUCAAUACAUGGCACUACCUUAUGCCAGAGUUA